UAGCCGUAAACGAUACUCGCUAGGUGUCGGCCACGGUGCGACCGUUGUCGGUGCCGUAGGGAAGCCGUGAAGCGAGCCACCUGGGAAGUACGGCCGCAAGGCUGAAACUUAAAGGAAUUGGCGGGGGAGCACCACAACGGGUGGAGCUUGCGGUCUAAUUGGACUCAACGCCGGGAAGCUCACCGGAUAAGACAGCGGAAUGAUUGCCGGGCUGAAGACCCUGCAUGACCAGCUGAGAGGAGGUGCAUGGCGUAGUCGUGU
rnacentral:rRNA from 1 species